GAGGGUACAGCUCAAGCGGUAGAGCACGUGCUUAGCAGGCAUGAGGUCCUGGGUUCCAUUCCCAGUACCUCCU
rfam:Camelus ferus unplaced genomic scaffold scaffold291, whole genome shotgun sequence.